rnacentral:rRNA from 1 species
UGAGUAGAGCGGCGCACGGGUGAGUAACGCGUGGAUAAUCUACCCUUAAGAUCGGGAUAACAGUUGGAAACGACUGCUAAUACCGUAUGUCCUGCAUAUUUAACUUUAUGUGGAAAAGGUGGCCUCUAUUUAUAAGCUACCGCUUUUGGAUGAGUCCGCGUCUCAUUAGCUUGUUGGUGGGGUAAUGGCCUACCAAGGCAACGAUGAGUAGCUGGUCUGAGAGGAUGAUCAGCCACACUGGGACUGAAACACGGCCCAGACUCCUACGGGAGGCAGCAGUGGGGAAUAUUGCGCAAUGGGGGAAACCCUGACGCAGCGACGCCGCGUGUAGGAAGAAGGCCUUCGGGUCGUAAACUACUGUCAAGAGGGAAGAAACUGUUAAGGUUUAAUACGCCUUUUCACUGACGGUACCUCUAGAGGAAGCACCGGCUAACUCCGUGCCAGCAGCCGCGGUAAUACGGAGGGUGCGAGCGUUAAUCGGAAUCACUGGGCGUAAAGCGUGCGUAGGCGGCGUGGAAAGUCAGACGUGAAAGCCCUCGGCUCAACCGAGGAAUUGCGUUUGAAACUGCCAUGCUAGAGUCUCGGAGAGGUUGGCGGAAUUCCAGGUGUAGGAGUGAAAUCCGUAGAUAUCUGGAGGAACACCGGUGGCGAAGGCGGCCAACUGGACGAGUACUGACGCUGAGGUAC